GAGGUAAUGGCUCACCAAGGCUUCGACGGGUAGCCGGCCUGAGAGGGCGACCGGCCACACUGGGACUGAGAUACGGCCCAGACUCCUACGGGAGGCAGCAGUGGGGAAUAUUGCACAAUGGGCGAAAGCCUGAUGCAGCAACGCCGCGUGCGGGAUGACGGCCUUCGGGUUGUAAACCGCUUUCACCCAUGACGAAGCGAAAGUGACGGUAGUGGGAGAAGAAGCACCGGCCAACUACGUGCCAGCAGCCGCGGUGAUACGUAGGGUGCGAGCGUUGUCCGGAAUUAUUGGGCGUAAAGGGCUUGUAGGCGGUCUGUCGCGUCGGAAGUGAAAACUCGAAGCUUAACUUCGAGCCUGCUUCCGAUACGGGCAGACUAGAGGGAUGCAGGGGAGAACGGAAUUCCUGGUGGAGCGGUGGAAUGCGCAGAUAUCAGGAGGAACACCGGUGGCGAAGGCGGUUCUCUGGGCAUUACCUGACGCUGAGAAGCGAAAGCGUGGGGAGCAAACAGGCUUAGAUACCCUGGUAGUCCACGCCGUAAACGGUGGGCACUAGGUGUGGGGGACAUUCCACGUUCUCCGUGCCGAAGCUAACGCAUUAAGUGCCCCGCCUGGGGAGUACGGCCGCAAGGCUAAAACUCAAAGGAAUUGACGGGGGCCCGCACAAGCGGCGGAGCAUGCGGAUUAAUUCGAUGCAACGCGAAGAACCUUACCUGGGUUUGACAUAUGCCGGAAAGCUGCAGAGAUGUAGCCCCCGCAAGGUCGGUAUACAGGUGGUGCAUGGCUGUCGUCAGCUCGUGUCGUGAGAUGUUGGGUUAAGUCCCGCAACGAGCGCAACCCUCGUUCUAUGUUGCCAGCACGUAAUGGUGGGGACUCAUAGGAGACUGCCGGGGUCAACUCGGAGGAAGGUGGGGAUGACGUCAAGUCAUCAUGCCCCUUAUGUCCAGGGCUUCACGCAUGCUACAAUGGCCGGUACAAAGGGCUGCGAGACCGUAAGGUUGAGCGAAUCCCAAAAAGCCGGUCUCAGUUCGGAUUGGGGUCUGCAACUCGACCCCAUGAAGUCGGAGUCGCUAGUAAUCGCAGAUCAGCAACGCUGCGGUGAAUACGUUCCCGG
rnacentral:rRNA from 1 species